rnacentral:lncRNA from 1 species
AUGUGUGUUUAUCCCACGGAGAACGUGGUGCAGAUUGGAGUUAAAAAUGGAAAUGUGUGUGUUUUCAUGUGGUGGUCACUCCCCAUGACCACCUGUACCACGAUCCCCGACAGCCCGUAUAGUUCUGCAUUUACUCUGCGACCACCCGUAUCACUCUGCGUUCACUCUGCGAAUGGCCGUAUCACUCUGCGACCACCAGUAUCACUCUGCUUUCACUCUGCGACCACCUGUAUAACUCUGCAUUCUCCUCAACCACCCGGAUCACUCUACGUUCACUCUGCGACCACCCGUAUCACUCUGUGUUCACUCUGCAAAUGGCCGUAUCACUCUGCGACCACCAGUAUCACUCUGCGUUCACUCUGCAACCACCUGUAUAACUCUGCAUUCUCCUCAACCACCCGGAUCACUCUAUGUUCACUCUGUGACCGCCCGUAUCACUCUACGUUCACUCUGCGACCGCCUGUAUCACUCUACGUUCACUCUGCGACCACCAGUAUCACUCUACGUUCACUCUGCGACCGCCCGGAUCACUCUCCGUUCACUCCGCGACCGCCCGGAUCACUCUACGUUCACUCUGCGACCGCCCGGAUCACUCUCCGUUCACUCCGCGACCGCCCGGAUCACUCUGUGUUCACUCUGCGACCGCCCGUAUCACUCUACGUUCACUCUGCGACCGCCCGUAUCACUCUGCGUUCACUCUGCGACCGCCCGUAUCACUCUGCGUUCACUCUGCGACCGCCUGUAUCACUCUGCGUUCACUCUGCGACCGCCUGUAUCACUCUACGUUCACUCUGCGACCACCAGUAUCACUCUACGUUCACUCUGCGACCGCCCGGAUCACUCUGUGUUCACUCUGCGACCGCCCGUAUCACUCUACGUUCACUCUGCGACCGCCCGUAUCACUCUGCGUUCACUCUGCGACCGCCUGUAUCACUCUACGUUCACUCUGCGACCACCAGUAUCACUCUACGUUCACUCUGCGACCGCCCGGAUCACUCUCCGUUCACUCCGCGACCACCAGUAUCACUCUACGUUCACUCUGCGACCGCCCGUAUCACUCUGUGUUCACUCUGCGACCGCCCGUAUCACUCUGCGUACACUCUGCGAUCACCCGUAUCACUCUGCGUUCACUCUGCGACCGCCCGUAUCACUCUGCGACCGCCCGUAUCACUCUGCGUACACUCUGCGACCGCCCGUAUCACUCUGUGCUCUCCGUAA